rnacentral:rRNA from 1 species
AUUGAACGCUGGCGGAAUGCUUUACACAUGCAAGUCGAGCGGCAGCGCGGCCUUCGGGCUGGCGGCGAGCGGCGAACGGGUGAGUAAUGCAUCGGAACAUGCCCAGUCGUGGGGGAUAACACUUCGAAAGAAGUGCUAAUACCGCAUACGUCCUGAGGGGGAAAGCGGGGGAUCGCAAGACCUCGCGCGAUUGGAGUGGCCGAUGUCAGAUUAGCUAGUUGGUGGGGUAAAGGCCUACCAAGGCGACGAUCUGUAGCUGGUCUGAGAGGAUGAUCAGCCACACUGGGACUGAGACACGGCCCAGACUCCUAGGGAGGCAGCAGUGGGGAAUCUUGGACAAUGGGGGCAACCCUGAUCCAGCCAUUCCGCGUGAGUGAAGAAGGCCUUCGGGUUGUAAAGCUCUUUCGGCAGGAACGAAACGGUGGGCUCUAACAUAGUCCGCUAAUGACGGUACCUGAAGAAGAAGCACCGGCUAACUACGUG